GAUGAACGCUGGCGGCGUGCCUGAUACAUGCAAGUCGAGCGAACAGACGAGGAGCUUGCUCCUCUGACGUUAGCGGCGGACGGGUGAGUAACACGUGGAUAACCUACCUAUAAGACUGGGAUAACUUCGGGAAACCGGAGCUAAUACCGGAUAAUAUAUUGAACCGCAUGGUUCAAUAGUGAAAGACGGUUUUGCUGUCACUUAUAGAUGGAUCCGCGCCGCAUUAGCUAGUUGGUAAGGUAACGGCUUACCAAGGCAACGAUGCGUAGCCGACCUGAGAGGGUGAUCGGCCACACUGGAACUGAGACACGGUCCAGACUCCUACGGGAGGCAGCAGUAGGGAAUCUUCCGCAAUGGGCGAAAGCUUGACGGAGCAACGCCGCGUGAGUGAUGAAGGUCUUCGGAUCGUAAAACUCUGUUAUUAGGGAAGAACAAAUGUGUAAGUAACUAUGCACGUCUUGACGGUACCUAAUCAGAAAGCCACAGCUAACUACGUG
rnacentral:rRNA from 1 species